GUUGUUGGAUUCACUUCAAAUUAUGUGUAUUGGUAUGGAUUAGGGUGAAAUUUAGUUCAAGUUCCACUCCAAUCCACCUCAACACAUGUGGAUUGAUAUGAAUCCGACU
rfam:Sorghum bicolor cultivar BTx623 chromosome 9, whole genome shotgun sequence.